CUGGCUCUAAGUGACUCUGCUUGAGCAGGGGGGUUGGACCAGGUGACCUACAGAGGUCCCUUCCAACCUCAACCAUUCUGUGAAAUGAAGCAUGAUUGUCACAAGCAACCUAUAGCUAGGCUUCUCUCACUAAAGAGAGAGGAGGAGGUGAAAAAGCCAAACCUUACACACACAGUCCGAAGUCUGAAGACGUAAUUCCUAAGCACGGAUAGAGGGCAAGGUUUGAAGGUUGACUGUUAUCCUUCUGAAGCAAAAUGCUUGUGAAGCAUGCUUUUGCAUUAUUUUAGACCUCUCAUCCUGUUUGAGUAAGGACCUUCAGUGGAAAUGUAUUAAUUUCCAUUUUUAUGUUUAUACCUAAUACAGCAAUCUAGCAGAGAACAGUAUUUUUGUUACUGCUGUGACAGGACAAGAAAGACAGCCUGCUAAUACAGAAAUACACACCAAAUUUUAACAAAGCGAGAUUGCUUAUAUGUUUUUCAUUUGCAUGUGAAUAAUGGAAUUUAGGUUCUUGUAAGGGAUAACAAUUAAAUGAAGCAUUUUGCUUUGGUGUUUUCAUUCCAAAAUGGGGUAUGUGAUGAAAGAGAUGCAGAAAGAAAGAUAUAUUUACUCUGAGAGCAUUGAUCUGCAUCUGUACAUUGUCUGAUCAUGUCUUGAUAGACUUGGAUCCAUUCUUCCUCCUUGGGAAGCAUGAACUGUUGAGCAGGUAACCUAAUGUACUAAACUGUCUAGCUCAGUAUCACUGGUUAAAACUCCUCUUUAGCAUAUACUUGGAGCACAGCAAGAACUGAAAUCUGUAUUUUCCAUCCUAUGUUGGCUCAGUUGAAUGUUGCAUAGGCUCAAGGGCUGUGUUUGUAAUAGUAUUUUAGGGCAGGGGCAGUAGUCUUUCGAGCCCAACUGCAGUGGCUGAGAUUGCUUCUGUACAGCUGAACUUUCGUGGACAUACGGGAAUGAGUCCAGUGAAGGACGAUGGAGAUGGAGCAUUCAUCAUAUGAUGAGAGGCUGAGAGAGCUGGCAUUGUUCAGUCUGGAGAAGAGGUGGCUCAAGGGGGAUCUUAUCAAUGUUUAUAAAUACCUCAUGCAAGGGGAAUAAAGAAGACAGAGCCAGACUCUUCUCAGUGGUGCCCAGUGACAGAAGAAGAGGCAACAGGCAGGAACUGAAACAUAGGAAAUUCUACUUAAAGGUAAGAGAGAACUUUUUUAUGGUGCAGGUGGUGUAACACUGGAACAGCUUGCUCAUCAUUGCAGACCCUCAAACCCAACUGGACGCAGCCCUGAACAACUUACUGUAUCUGACCGUGCUCUCAGCCAGGGGUUGGACUGGACUCCAGAGGUCCCUGCCAACCUCAACUAUUCCGUGAUUGUAUGAAACUCACCUCCAAAGAAGGAGUCCGCAUUCAGGCUGCCUGCUGGGAAAGGUCCCUAGUACGUGCUAACUCUCAGGUGCCUGGGGGAGAGUGUAGAUACCCUGGGACAAAGCUGUGCUGUAUUUUGCCAGAGUGGGUGAUGAUGUACCAGUUCCUGGGCAUGUUUUGUGAGCCUGCAUAGUUAACUAGCCUAGAGAUAGCUAAACCACUCUGUUUGGGAAAACCUGACUGAAGAUCUGUUGGGUGUUGGGAAGAUCUCUUGGGUGUGCUGGAGGAUGACACUUAAAAUCUAUGCCUACCUCAUCCAGAAAUUGGUCUUGUGCUGAUACACCAGCUACGCUCAGGUUUUCCCUCACAGAAAGUUUGGUAGCUUGGUUGAGUUGGACCAGAGGCUGUGCUUAUUUGUAAACAAGGGGAGCAGCAUCCAAGUUUGGAUGUGACUGUGGGGUAGGUGUUGCACUUAACUGGUACUGUUGACAGAGCUGUAUCUUACUGAAUAUCUCUCGUCAAGUAUUGCAUCUCAGCAGUGUAGGUUCCUGUUUCACUGUAAGCUUUACACGUGAAGUCAUUCAGCAUCUGCUCAAUGCACUUUAGCAUGUACGACCUUGAAGCUGAGGUUUCUUUCCUAGUUUAUUUAGCAGCUUGGAGAGAUAACCUUCAUGUGCUAAUGUAAUGCCUGCAGAGGUUAAAUCUAAUGGAGAGGCAUGUGUCUAAAUUUUGUGAGACAUGGAGGCUUUCCUUGGUCAACGAGACUAUUCUCAUUAGGGAGUACUUGUGGAAGGGUGGGCUGGAUCCUGCACUAGCUUGCUGUUUUUCUGAAGCCACUGAAGUGGUGCCAUAUUCAUAUUACACAAAGUAUGACUUUUUGGAUUAACAGGGUGGUACCAGGGUGGUUCCUGUCACCUGGGAUUCAUGGGACUCAGUCACGGUUCUCCUCAAUUCCUCUGCAGGUGUCUAAGCCCUAGCUUGCCAGCAAGACACUGGAGGUUUUGGGACAGCUUGAAAGUAGAGACUGAGUUCUCUGCAAGAACCGGUGUAAGCAGGAAUUGCAGCACCAAGAUAUAGGGAGUUUUCAGGAAAGAAAAGGCAGAUUGGCAAUGACCGCAAGGGCAGGGGCUUGCUGCCCAAAAGGGUGUGGAGGAGGUUAAGGGAGGAUCAAAUGUAAGAGCAACAAGUGACUUACCAACUAAGCUAACCUCCUCUUGGGAGGGAGCAAGGUUACAGUUACCAUAGCAAUGCAAAUGAAAGGUUCUCACCAAACUCUCUGCGUGUCAGUGGCAGUAGGGAGUGUAAUUACAGCGUACAGGACUUCUGAGUCAGCUUGGCUACUGCUGGCAGUGAAGCCAGCACCAAAGUGAACAGGGGCUGUGGAAACCUAUGUGGGACUGGCUGAAGCUCAUUUCCCCUAACUUCACUGUUUGCAUAUGUGAGGUGACUAAAAUUUGCUGAGAAAGGGAGUAAGGUGGAUCAAGGAGGGAAUCGGAAUAACAUUGCCCUUGGGGGAGCAUGUGGCCUCCUGCAGCAUCCUGGGGAAACUCACUCACUGCAACAUGACGGGGAAGCAAACAAUAUAAUCCUUUCUGUACCUAGGACUGCAUAACACCUCAUGCUUGCACACAAGCAGAAGGAGGCUCCUUCACUUGGGCAUCUGCAUGAGAGUCGUGAUAUAUUUCUGUGCCUCAGCUUUUUAUCCCACAUGGUGUUUAGUUUUUCCCUGCUAGCACAGUGAAUUGGUAGCUGCUAGCUCUGUGACAACUUCCAGACAAACUCUUCUUCUUACCAGUUUGCCCUGUCCCCACUGUUGACACGAUCAGUGCUUUGUUCAAGGAUUUCACUCAUUUUCCCGAUUAGCAGCCUUUAUAUUUUUGAUGGCAAUGAACUUAGUGUCUCAGAUAUUUCUGCCUCUGUCAGGUUCUCAGUACUGUCUAGAUUUUUCAGGUAUUCAACUGUAUCUGAAUUAACUACCAUGUGCUGACAGGGUGAAAUGAAUUAAGGGCUCAUCUAAAAUAAAGAUAUGAAGAGAAUCUAUGUAUUUUUCUACUAUGUAGGAGGUUCAUAUUUGUGUAAUUCCCCUAAAAUGACUCAGAAUAUUUACAUAAGCAUCUAUUAGAUAUUAAAAGAAAAUGUCUAUCUUGCCUCACUUGGAAGUUCAUCCUGAAUAGCAAGUCCAGAAAUGUUGAUUUUCCAAUCUCUGGUUGAUUCUCUUGCUUUUAUAUGUAAGCUUUUUUUUUUAAACUGUGUAUUGUUUUUUUUAGUGUGAAUUAACUUUUCAUGGAGCAGAGAGGUGGACCAGUUCUGUUGUUCUUUAUUCGUAUACAAUUCAGUUGAGGAAAUUGGUUGCCUUAUUGGACUUCUGGUAACAUGCUCUCACAGAUUUGGAUCAGAGCCUAGAAAAUCAGCUUUGCCUGAAGUGUAGACAUCCUGUGUUUCAGGAGUGCUCCUGGAAAGCAGUUGUUGUGCGCCAGACCUUGGUUCCUUUUGGAGGAAAUAAAAGUGAAGAUCAUUCCAAAUGCUGGCGUGAUUCAGUUCUGAACCCACCUGGGGAAGCACACUGCUGUGGGUGCCUCCAACGUGCAUCUAAUGAGUGUGUGCCAAUAGAAGGCUCUCAAACCAUUGAGUGUUCCCAUGUCACCCAAAAAUGGUUCCUAUCCUAUAUGGCUGUUGUGUUCACCUUCCUAUCGGCCAUUUUUUUGCCGAAAGCUUCCUCAAACUUCCACACAGACAUCCUGCUCUGAGUUGUUGGGACUGUAUUCCCACGUGAGACCAGAAACCAGGCAGCACAGUGCUUGAGUCACCCUGGAUGGCCCGAUCUGGGUCCUCUUUGAGCUUGGUAAGUGUCCUGCUUGAGUGGUGGGAUAUUAUGCAAAAUGCAGCACCACAGUGCUUGUUUUAAAAUAUGUGAACCAUGCUCGUCUAAGCACCUGCACAGCGUCAGUUUAGCUAAAUGUCCAUACUUAUAUGUGAGCUACUCACCACAGGUUCCUUUUAUACUCAGAAGAAAAAUCAGGUGCUUUUCUGUCAUCCUUAGCAAGUCAGAUGAAUUACCCAUGGGUAUUGCUUUCUUGUCAUGAGCCUUAAAGAAGAGCCUGGCCCAAAUGGCUCAGAUAUCUAUGUUUGGUCAGAUGAUCCUAUUCCUGAUGUGUAGGUGCUGAAGUGGGGAUUAGUCACUACCAUCAGCUUAUUGUUUCUAAUCAGCUAGAUUUAACUGGCUCCCUUUGGUUUUGGGGGCUCAGAUAAGCAGACUCACCCCUGGGUAGCCUGAGCUUCCCCAGAGUACAGCAGUCAUCCUUCCCGCGGGCCGCAAACCAUCUCCGUGUUAGUCAAGGCCUCGCAUAUAGCAACUUUUUGUUGCCUAAGUCCAGCCAGGAGCCUGUACCGGUGUCUCCCCAGCGUGGGUGCCCAGGUAAGCAUUCUCCGAAUGCCCUCGCUGGGCCCAGCUCCACGCAAGACACAGCAGCAGAUCUGCUGUCGUCUCUUAUCACGUAGCGUGCCUCCCUCCCUUGCCGAAUAACAAUCCGUUUCCCAGAGCACUCCCCUGGGAUAUAGGAGACAGGGCCAAUUUCCUCCUGAGUUUCAGAGGCAGCCAGGCGCCCCCUCCUUUGGGGACUGCCCACGCAACAAGGUUAAAAUCGGUUCUCAGCGCCAACGGUCAUUGCUGUCGUAACGUUAGGGUAAUCUGCAAAAAACCCCACUGGUCCUGUGUCGGAGAAACAGCAAGUAGAUGAUUCUGUAGGUGAGGCAACAGGAGGUUCCUUGGGAAAGGAGGGAGGCACGGAGAGCACCUGAGCCCAGGUCUUUAGGCUGUGUAUGUAUUUUAAGUAGUUAUUGAACAAAAGACAGAAACAGUCAUUGGCAAAGGAGCCAGAGCACAUGACUCCCGUUUGCUAAACCAGUGCCAUAAUAAAUAGGUUAAAGAAUCCCUCUUGCUUUCUCUUUUUGGCCAAAUAAGUCUUGAACCCUAUUCUCUGGGGAGGCACAGAUUCAGCAAGAAGUGACAGCACCUCUUUUUUCUCUCUGAUGGCUGGAACUUGCUGCAUCACUGCCUUGUCCAUCCAGUUAUUAUCCCUGCUGGUUCAUAAGAGCCUGUGCCAGCUUCUGCUUCUGCUAGUGCCAGCCUCAGGCUGGGGAAUGCUUAUUAUCAUUUCCUCUGCUGGAUGUGCUACUCAUUCAUCUGUCCUACUCAGGAUUUUAAUUUAGUUUAUUCCAAAAGGGAUAGAAGGAAGCUUGUAAACAUAAAAGAAAACUGUUCUCAGCAUAGUUCAAAUGCAGGCACUACCUGGAAGAGCUUGAAAUCCUGUUAACAUACCUGCCUAAUAAUAUGCCUUGGUUGAGUCUCAAGGUUUGAGAAAUUGAACGGGCAUCCAAAAUUUUGAACAGUCAGAACAUUAACUUCUAAGGCUUGUGGCUGGCUAAUGUGCUUUCCCUGUGUUUAGUCUUUCGAGCAGGAUGUGACACCUUUUACAACAUUUGCUCAGUGCUAGUUUGUAAUUCAGUAUAAAGCAGGUUCCCGAUUCAGAGUUAUUUCUGUGUAUGCUAUCUUACUGCUAACAUCAUUACUAUUGCCAGACUUGUGUAUACAGACUUACAAGGAUUCCACUCUUCAGAGCAUCUUCUUUCAGUUUUACACAAGCUUUAAGAAAGAAAGGUUUUGACCAACAAACAUUUCUCUCCAACUAAUUGAAGAUACAAAGCUCUCCUGGCUACGUGAAGUUAGCAGCACAGUAUUGUGAGCAGGAGAGAAUCAGACCUCCUGAGGGGCAUGAAUUAGGAGAUUUGCUACUUGCAUACUAAGUGAAUUAGGGAUGAGAUUAUACAUGUAAUGAUCUGCUUUUUACUCAGGGUAAUGCAGCUCUGAGUUCACUGGGGAACAAAGACAUGAAUGCUUGUUCAAUUGAGAAUUGUGUAGAAGUCCUGUGAUUGUUUUAGUUGAGACUUUUGACUGAAGGCUUACUAGGGCAGGUUAGAGUAAUCACACAAAGUUUAUGCUUAUGUGCUUUUAUAUUUAAUGUGGCAGUGAUGCAAAUGUAAAAGUUUAAUCAAGAGCCUAUGCAUAGCUUGAAAUAUGACUGUGUAAAGUAAAAGUCUAGGUACAAAAUAAAACGUGUCAGUGGCAGUUCUCUGAAACUCCUUUUUCUAAGAUGAUACCUUCAACAUCUGUUGGUCAUCUCAUUGUGUGAGGCAGAGGAAUAUGUGAGUGUGAAAGGGGUAAAAUACUUUCACCCCUUCUGCUUUUGUUCUUUAAAAGUAAGGAGCCUUAAUUUACAAGGGUGCUAAUUCAUGUCAUUUUUGUUUCUACUGUACAGACUUACAAAAUUCUGGUAAUAUUUACUGCAGCGUUCAGCAGCAUGAACCUAAUAAAAGAACAGGUGUCCAGUGCUCUCUGAACUAAUAGCCUGUGCUUUGCUGACUCUUUGACACAUUGGUUAACACUUUGGCUGUGAAGUUAGAGAGGAGAAGCAAACUUGAAGGCAGAUGUACAGUCUUCAUGAAAUGAAAAGAUUUAUCUAGAAGAGUUUUGACAAGCUUUUGGGUCAUCUGAAGGAGAGCUUGUGUACCUGAAAUUUAGUUUGUUUUUCCCAACAAUGUAACUUGAUCUAAUAAAAAUACUACUUCUCCCCACAAA